rnacentral:rRNA from 1 species
UACGUAGGGGGCAAGCGUUGUCCGGAAUUAUUGGGCGUAAAGCGCGUGUAGGCGGCUCGGUAAGUCUGCUGUGAAAGUCCAGGGCUCAACCCUGGAAUGCCGGUGGAUACUGUCGAGCUCGAGUCCGGAAGAGGAGAGUGGAAUUCCUGGUGUAGCGGUGAAAUGCGCAGAUAUCAGGAAGAACACCGGUGGCGAAGGCGGGUCUCUGGGCCGAUACUGACGCUGAGGAGCGAAAGCGUGGGGGGCGAACAGG